rnacentral:rRNA from 1 species
GAAUAGCUCCUGGAAACGGGUGGUAAUACCGGAUGCUCCGCUCCAUCGCAUGGUGGGGUGGGAAAUGCUUUUGCGGCAUGGGAUGGGGUCGCGUCCUAUCAGCUUGUUGGCGGGGUGAUGGCCCACCAAGGCGUUGACGGGUAGCCGGCCUGAGAGGGUGACCGGCCACAUUGGGACUGAGAUACGGCCCAGACUCCUACGGGAGGCAGCAGUGGGGAAUAUUGCACAAUGGGCGCAAGCCUGAUGCAGCGACGCCGCGUGCGGGAUGGAGGCCUUCGGGUUGUAAACCGCUUUUGUUCAAGGGCAAGGCACGGUUUCGGCCGUGUUGAGUGGAUUGUUCGAAUAAGCACCGGCUAACUACGUGCCAGCAGCCGCGGUAAUACGUAGGGUGCGAGCGUUAUCCGGAUUUAUUGGGCGUAAAGGGCUCGUAGGCGGUUCGUCGCGUCCGGUGUGAAAGUCCAUCGCCUAACGGUGGAUCUGCGCCGGGUACGGGCGGGCUGGAGUGCGGUAGGGGAGACUGGAAUUCCCGGUGUAACGGUGGAAUGUGUAGAUAUCGGGAAGAACACCAAUGGCGAAGGCAGGUCUCUGGGCCGUCACUGACGCUGAGGAGCGAAAGCGUGGGGAGCGAACAGGAUUAGAUACCCUGGUAGUCCACGCCGUAAACGGUGGAUGCUGGAUGUGGGGCCCUUUCCACGGGUCCCGUGUCGGAGCCAACGCGUUAAGCAUCCCGCCUGGGGAGUACGGCCGCAAGGCUAAAACUCAAAGAAAUUGACGGGGGCCCGCACAAGCGGCGGAGCAUGCGGAUUAAUUCGAUGCAACGCGAAGAACCUUACCUGGGCUUGACAUGUGCCGGAUCGCCGUGGAGACACGGUUUCCCUUCGGGGCCGGUUCACAGGUGGUGCAUGGUCGUCGUCAGCUCGUGUCGUGAGAUGUUGGGUUAAGUCCCGCAACGAGCGCAACCCUCGCCGCAUGUUGCCAGCGGGUGAUGCCGGGAACUCAUGUGGGACCGCCGGGGUCAACUCGGAGGAAGGUGGGGAUGACGUCAGAUCAUCAUGCCCCUUACGUCCAGGGCUUCACGCAUGCUACAAUGGCCGGUACAACGCGGUGCGACACGGUGACGUGGGGCGGAUCGCUGAAAACCGGUCUCAGUUCGGAUCGCAGUCUGC